rnacentral:rRNA from 1 species
AACGUAGGUACCGAGCGUUAUCCGGAUUUACUGGGCGUAAAGCGUGUGCAGGUGGUCGUGCAAGUCGGGCAUGAAAGCUCCUGGCUCAACUAGGAGAAGCUGUCUGAUACUGCAGGACUUGAGGGCUCGAGAGGGCGAUGGAAUUCCGCAUGUAGUGGUGAAAUGCGUAGAGAUCAGGAGGAACACCGGUGGCGAAGGCGACCUCUUGGCCGGCUAUUGACGCUGAGGCGCGAAGGCGUGGGGAGCAAACAGG